rnacentral:rRNA from 1 species
GACGAACGCUGGCGGCGUGCUUAACACAUGCAAGUCGAACGGUGAAGGGACCGGUUUUUGCUGGUUCUGGAUGAGUGGCGAACGGGUGAGUAACACGUGAGUAACCUGCCCCCUUCUUCUGGAUAACCGCAUGAAAGUGUGGCUAAUACGGGAUAUUCUGCGCCUGCUGCAUGGUGGGUGUGGGAAAGAUAUUGUUUCGGUGGGGGAUGGGCUCGCGGCCUAUCAGCUUGUUGGUGGGGUGAUGGCCUACCAAGGCGGUGACGGGUAGCCGGCCUGAGAGGGUGGACGGUCACACUGGGACUGAGACACGGCCCAGACUACUACGGGAGGCAGCAGUGGGGAAUAGUGCACAAUGGGCGCAAGCCUGAUGCAGCGACGCCGCGUGAGGGAUGGAGGCCUUCGGGUUGUAAACCUCUUUCGCCAGUGAAGCAGGCCUGUCCCUUUUGUGGGUGGGUUGACGGUAGCUGGAUAAGAAGCGCCGGCUAACUACGUG